rnacentral:rRNA from 1 species
AUUGAACGCUGGCGGCAUGCUUUACACAUGCAAGUCGAACGGUAACAGGGUGCUUGCACCGCUGACGAGUGGCGAACGGGUGAGUAAUGCGUCGGAACGUGCCGAGUAGUGGGGGAUAACGCAGCGAAAGUUGUGCUAAUACCGCAUACGUACUGAGGUAGAAAGUGGGGGACCUUCGGGCCUCACGCUAUUCGAGCGGCCGACGUCUGAUUAGCUAGUAGGUGAGGUAAAGGCUCACCUAGGCGACGAUCAGUAGCGGGUCUGAGAGGAUGAUCCGCCACACUGGGACUGAGACACGGCCCAGACUCCUACGGGAGGCAGCAGUGGGGAAUUUUGGACAAUGGGCGAAAGCCUGAUCCAGCCAUGCCGCGUGUCUGAAGAAGGCCUUCGGGUUGUAAAGGACUUUUGUCGGGGAGGAAAUCCCCGGCGUUAAUACCGCUGGGGGAUGACAGUACCUGAAGAAUAAGCACCGGCUACUACGUGCCAGCCGCCGCGGUAACAC